UUUGAGAUAUCAGGUAAUCCUGAGCCAAAUUUUAAUUAUGAAAUAGGUGCAGAGACUCGAAGGAAACUAUCCUAACGAAAAUUUUUUUUUCUAUUUUUUAUUAUCAGUAUUGGCUAAGUGAACAAUACAAAAUAUAUUCAAAAUCAUAAAAACAUAUAAAUACUAAAAUAUGAGUAUUAGUCUUUAAAUAAUUUCUACUAGACGAGGAUAAAGAUAGAGUCCUUUUUUACAAUCCAUCUAUAUAAUUUUGACUUACUAGAUAAUUGUAAAAAGAAAAUCCGUUGGCUUUAAUAGACCUUGAGGGUUCAAGUCCCUCUACCCCCA
rnacentral:tRNA from 1 species